ensembl:snRNA U6 U6 spliceosomal RNA
GUGCUCGCUUCAGCAGCACAUAUACUAAAAUUGGAACGAUACAGAGAAGAUUAGCAUGGCCCCUGCGCAAGGAUGAAAUACACCUCUGUAUUACCUUGAAAACCUAA